UGGCUGAUGGUGUAACUGGCAACACGUCUGAUUUUGGUUCAGAAGAGUCCAGGUUCGAGCCCUGGUCGGCCAA
rnacentral:tRNA from 2 species